rnacentral:rRNA from 1 species
UGGGGAAUAUUGCACAAUGGGCGCAAGCCUGAUGCAGCCAUGCCGCGUGUAUGAAGAAGGCCUUCGGGUUGUAAAGUACUUUCAGCGAGGAGGAAGGCGUUGUGGUUAAUAACCGCAACGAUUGACGUUACUCGCAGAAGAAGCACCGGCUAACUCCGUGCCAGCAGCCGCGGUAAUACGGAGGGUGCAAGCGUUAAUCGGAAUUACUGGGCGUAAAGCGCACGCAGGCGGUCUGUCAAGUCGGAUGUGAAAUCCCCGGGCUCAACCUGGGAACUGCAUCCGAAACUGGCAGGCUAGAGUCUUGUAGAGGGGGGUAGAAUUCCAGGUGUAGCGGUGAAAUGCGUAGAGAUCUGGAGGAAUACCGGUGGCGAAGGCGGCCCCCUGGACAAAGACUGACGCGCAGGUGCGAAAGCGUGGGGAGCAAACA